rnacentral:rRNA from 1 species
CAAGCAGGCGCGCAAAUUACCCACUCCCAGAACGGGGAGGUAGUGACGAAAAAUAACAAUACGGGACUCUUUUGAGACCCCGUAAUUGGAAUGAGUACACUCUAAAUCCUUUAACGAGGAUCCAUUGGAGGGUAAGUCUGGUGCCAGCAACCGCGGUAAUUCCAGCUCCAAUAGCGUAUAUUAAAGUUGUUGCGGUUAAAAAGCUCGUAGUUGGAUCUCAGUUCCAGACGGGUGGUCCUCCUACCGGUGGUUACUGCCUGUUCUGAACAGUCAGCCGGUUUCUCUUGAUGAUCUUCACCGGUUGUCUUGGGUGACCGGCAAGUUUACUUUGAAAAAAUUAGAGUGCUCAAAGCAGGCGUGACGCCUGAAUAAUGGUGCAUGGAAUAAUGGAAUAGGACCUCGGUUCUAUUUUGUUGGUUUUCGGAACACGAGGUAAUGAUUAAGAGGGACAGACGGGGGCAUUCGUAUUGCGACGCUAGAGGUGAAAUUCUUGGACCGUCGCAAGACGAACUACUGCGAAAGCAUUUGCCAAGAAUGUUUCCAUUAAUCAAGAACGAAAGUUAGAGGUUCGAAGGCGAUCAGAUACCGCCCUAGUUCUAACCAUAAACGAUGCCAGCCAGCGAUCCGGCUGUGUUCCUCAAAUGACACGCCGGGCAGCUUCCGGGAAACCAAAGCUUUUGGUUGC